UACGGAGGAUCCGAGCGUUAUCCGGAUUUAUUGGGUUUAAAGGGAGCGUAGGCGGAUUGUUAAGUCAGUUGUGAAAGUUUGCGGCUCAACCGUAAAAUUGCAGUUGAUACUGGCGACCUUGAGUGCAACAGAGGUAGAUGGAAUUCCCGGUGUAGCGGUGGAAUGCGUAGAUAUCGGGAGGAACACCAGUGGCGAAGGCGGUCUACUGGGCACCAACUGACGCUGAGGCUCGAAAGCAUGGGUAGCAAACAGG
rnacentral:rRNA from 1 species